UACCAGCACCCCGAGUGGUCGGGACGAUUAUUGGGCCUAAAGCAUCCGUAGCCGGCCUUACAAGUCCUCCGUUAAAUCCAGCUGCUUAACAGAUGGGCUGCGGAGGAUACUAUAAGACUAGGAGGCAGGAGAGGCAAGCGGUACUCAGUGGGUAGGGGUAAAAUCCGUUGAUCCACUGAAGACCACCAGUGGCGAAGGCGGUUUGCCAGAACGCGCUCGACGGUGAGGGAUGAAAGCUGGGGGAGCAAACGGG
rnacentral:rRNA from 1 species